rnacentral:ncRNA from 2 species
UAUAUUUGAGAUUAACUCGGUUCUAGUGGGAAACAGCCACUAGAGGAAACGGGGAAAGUCCGGUGUGAAUCCGGCGCUGUCCCGCAGCUGUAAUCAAGCCUUGCCUUGUGAGUCAGAAUGCCCGCCGAAGUUAACUUGUAAAU